rnacentral:lncRNA from 1 species
AGGAAAGUGCUACGGCUCCGCACGCCUUCCCCCCACCACCCAGUGCCAUGGCUCCGCACGCCUUCCCACCACCCAGUGCCAUGGCUCCGCACGCCUUCCCCCCACCACCCAGUGCCAUGGCUCCACACGCCUUCCCCCACUCCAGUGCCACGGCUCUACAUGCCUUUUCCCCCCCAGUGCCACGGCUCCACAAGCCUUUUCCCAUCCUACAAUUGUCAUGUAUUUUUCAUGAAAUGAGUUAUUUGAAAGAAACUAAUAUUGUCCAAAAUAUAGAACUUCUUUUGGAAGUUUUGAAGAAUCUUGGACUCCAAGGGGCUCCUCUUUUGAAAGCUGUUCCCUUCUCUGACCACAGGGGCUGGGAGGGGCGUGCUAGGCCUGCACGGAGCCUGGGCGGGGUGUAGGAGGACCUGGAGGAGUGCUGGAGCCAGGCAAGCUGGGCUGCUACCAGGAACCCGAACCCCUCCAGACACCCCGGGAGAGGUGACCCACCUGCCCCUGUGCGCAAGUCACUGAAAGUUUUGGAGCCUGGUUUUCUUACCUGAGAAAUGGGGCUGAUGAUCGUCCUGACUGAUCGAUUGGACCACCCGGUACACCACUGGCCUCUCCGAUCCACAAGCUUCGAAAGCAUUUUCAUAUCAGAAGCAUGUGGAAGUCCCAGCCCCUGAGACCUGAGAGUGGGACCUCAUUUGGAAACAGGAUCCUGCAGAUGUGGUCAAGACAAGCACUGGGCUGGGCGGGGCCCAAGUCCAGGAACAGGCAUCCUCCUAAGAGGAAAGAGACCAACACGGUGCCAUGGGAGGCAGGCGAGGUUGGAGCAACGGCACAAGCCAGGGAAGCUGAGAGCAGCAGAUGCUGGGACAGGUGGCUAGGAGCCACCGGUGCACCCGGGGAGCACGCCCUUGCGAGGUGAUGAAAAACCUGCUGAAAUAGCACAGAGCAGCCCCUCCCGCGGUGGUUCAUAGCAUUCAUCCCCUGAGAGCCCACACAGGCCACACCACCGGCCCACAGAGGGGAAGCUGAGGCAGGAGCCUAAUGACUCGCCCCAGGCCUCAAAACGAUGUGCACUGGGGCUGUUUCCACUAUUAAGUCAACAAUCUCUGCAGUUUCUGCUUAAUGGUCUCAAUUAAGGUUCUCUUAAUAAAGAACAUUUGUGGAGAAGAUGGGUGGGGCUGACACAGUUCUGCGGUCCACAAUGCCUCUGAAUCCCAGUGAAAACAGGCUAGAGCCUUCUCAGCUCCCAAGGCACAACCAAAAUACAGACAGACAGGAGCGCCCCAGGGAAGGAGAACUGGCGUGGUGUCCACACAGGCAUCAGGAAGUGUGUGAGCCUGCGAAUGUGCACCUGUGUGCAUGUGGUGGCAUGUAGGUGGAAUGUAGGUGGCACGUGUGCAUGAAUCGAGUGCAUAUACAUGUGAAUGGUAUGUGUGCACAUGUAAGCAUAUGUAUGCCAUAUGCGUGUACACGUUGCAUGUGAGUAUAUGUAUACCAUGAGUGUGCACUGUGCAUGUGAGCAUAUGCAUGCUGUAUGUGUACACUGUGCAUGUGAGCAUAGGUGUACCGUGUGUGUGUGCACUGUGCAUGUG